rnacentral:rRNA from 1 species
GACAGAGGUGCCGAGCGUUAGGCGGAAUCACUGGGCUUAAAGCGUGUGUAGGCGGACCGUUAAGUACCUUGUGAAAUCCCCCGGCUCAACCGGGGAACGGCUGGGUAUACUGGCGGUCUUGAGCCAUCCAGGGGCAGUCGGAACAGACGGUGGAGCGGUGAAAUGCGUAGAUAUCGGAAGGAACAUCAGUGGCGAAAGCGACUUCCUGGACCAAUACUGACGCUCAUGUGCGAAAGCGUGGGGAGCAAACAGG